GAUCGUAAUAUUUUCUGAAAAGAUGGGUUUUGAGAGAACUUUUAAAUGAGUCAAUCGAGGGAGACAUUUUGAUUUCAGUCGGGAGUUGAUUCCACAACUGUGGAGCACCAUAGCUGAAGGAGCGAAACCCGAAUGCCCGGAGUUUCUGUCUAGGAAUAGUGAGAAGGUGUCUAUCUGCCGAUCUUAACAUUCUGGAAGGAUUGUGCUUGGUGACUAGCUCAACAAGGUACUCUGGAGACGUAAGAUGGUAACACUGGUAGGCAAGACUCAGGACCUUGAAUUCAAUUCUGGCUCUGAUUGGUAGCCAGUGAAGAGACUUAAGAACAGGCGUUAUGUGGAUCCUAGAGGGAACUUUGUUGACAAAAAUAUGUUAUCACA